CAAACACAAAAAAGUAUAAGGUGGAGUAUCUUACAUACAUUUGAAAAGCGUAUGUAAGAUACUCCACCUUAUACUUUUUUGUGUUUGAAU